AUUUUAAAUUAGACUUGGUAUUUCAAACUGAGAGUGGAUUAUGGGCUAAUUUUCUUUAGCAUGACCGGCCAAGGCUUAGAGGGAAUUAGUUGAAAAUCAACAAAGUAGUUGUAGUUCAAGAGGAAAUGAUGUCAUGUAGGUAGGUUGCUUAAACAAUAGGAAAGUUGGUGUAUGCAUGCAAUGUCGUUGGUGGCCGGUUGAGUGGGGUGUGUAUGAUUGUUUUAUUUUAUAUUUUUUUUUCUUGAUUGUGAGAAAGGGGGAGCCGGUGAAGGUGGGAAGAAACAUUUCAUAUUCUUGAUUGAACUUAAAAAAUUGACUUGGUGGAGUUCCUUCACGGUGAGAAAGUUAAGGAGUGAAAGAGGAAAAAAUUUGUUUAUUUCCGCCAUUCUCUUUGCUGUUCGAAUAGAGAAGGAAGAGGAAAGCUAUGGCAUGUUAAUUUUGAGCUCAAUUAGGAGCUGGUUCCUUACGAAAUUCGCUGAAGGUGGCAGCAAGAAGGGGAAAGAAACCUCUCAAGGGUAGGUUUGGCAGCUGUUUGGUAAGUUCUUUCGUUCAAAUUUAGUAAAAUAUCUAUGUUUAAAAUGUGUUUAAUACAUGCAGGAAGAUUCGGUUAUAUGGGCUGUUAAGCAAAAAUUUGUAGCUUAAAAUACAUGAUAUCGUUACCAAAAUUCUGCUGUUAGAAGUGAAAGAAAAAUUUGAUAAAUAAUGUACAAGUUGCUGUUAGAUGCUUAUUGUUUCAGCAUGUAAUUGUUGUAGCGUAUUGUGCAAAUACUUAAGAGUGCAAUUUUUUUUUCUGCUGCUGUUGUAAUUGAGAUAAAUGUUGAUUUUAGUCAGUGUUCGAAAGAGUAAUUUGGGGUCUGAACACUGGAAAUUUCAGCAUUUAAAUUCUCUGCUUUAAGCUAAUUAAACCAUGUUGUAAAUGCAACAAUAGCAUAUGUGAUAUACAAA